ensembl:lncRNA
CCUGCUUCAACCUCCCAGGUGCUGGGAUUACAGCCGUGCACUUCAAUGUCUGGUCUCACGGUGUUUAACCUGUAUUGUUUACAUAAGAAGGUUUAUUUACAUUUUGAAACAGGAAUUGUUUAGGAACAUCACAUGGCAAAACAAAACAAACAGACCCCCAAACAAACAAACCCCCACAAACCACAAUAAUGCUCUUCACUAGAAAUGAAAUAAGAAGUGGAUCCUGUAUGUUGUGAUGGAGGAGAGAAACCCAACCUCAGCCUCUGGCCUUCACAAAAGGAUCCACGGGUAUGAGCCUGGUGACUCGGCUGGCUGGCUCCCUUGGAUCCUGCCUCCAGAAUAAGUACUUCGCUUACCUCUCCUUCCUUAGCUCCCGAUUGUUGUUCAAGAGCUGAGGACCAAACCCAGGGCUUUGUGCUUGCUAGGCAAGCGCUCUACCACUGAGCUAAAUCCCCAACCCCCCUUCGCUACCUUUUGAGCAGCCAAUAUCAGAACUGUUUCUGAGUUACGAGACAGGAUCCAAAGUGUCAGUGGAAAUCCCCAACUCCACUCUGCUGUGACCACUAAGGAUCAGCACACGUGCUCUGCUGCCUACCAUACCUACGUGCAUUGCCACAUAAUACUCUUGCAAGACAUCCAGAGAAAGUGGCUUGGAAUACAAUCAUGUUGUGUUAAAAUCCACUGCUCACAACUGAAGAAGCCAGACAGAUUGACACAUGCCGAGAGGCCUCGUUGAGAGAAACCCCUUGCUAAAACCUCACAUGAAUAUGGAAAGUAGUCGUCCCAACAGGUGUAUAUCAACACAAAAACAAUAAAUAUGAAAAAUAAAUAAUGAUGCCUCAUAAAGUU